rnacentral:lncRNA from 1 species
GCAGCCCAGACGACCCAUGGCUAGGGUAAAGCUGGUGCUGUCCUAGAAAUUGGGUCUCCCCUCCCAGAUCCAGGCUGCCUCCUGCAGGCUGCAGGACUCUGACAUCCAGCCAUCUCAAUAUUCCAGAGAAGAGGAUGAGUGUGAAGGGUGGUGGCGAUUUUAAACAAGGUGAUCAGGAAGACCUUGUGGAUAACUUCGGGUCUGAGCACACUCCAUCAGGGGGUGACUUCUCUUCGCCCAUCCGACAUGCACUGCUUACUGAAAAAGGUCCAAGGCUGUCUGGCACAGGCCCCCCAUCAUUUUCUCAAGCUGCAACAAAUGUCUCCAAAACCUGGACAGGCAGACAUCUAGGCAGGGCCUAUUGGUCUGGACAUCUCAGAACCUCCCCAAAUUCUGCUUUCUUCAUCGCCAUCAGGUUUCCGUAGCAACCAGAGGACUUCACAGGAGAGAGUGAAGGGGAAUUAAGAGCCAGAGAGAGCAGAGGAGAGAGGAGGAGGUCCGGAAGAUGCCUGGCUUGGGACCCGAGAGUGGCAGAAUAGCAAAGCCUGCAGCAGCCACAGCACUGUGGUCCUGAGACCCAGGCCAACUUCCUAGAGGACUGGUCGGUGACUUCAGAGGGUAGGGGUGGCCUGGGCCAACACCCAAUUCCAGCUGUCCCUCUGCCCCCAUACAUGCAGCCCCCCGAAAACCCAGAUUCCAAAACCACCUUCUUGGACUCUUCCCUGUUUCUAGCUUCUGACAUUCAAUCAUCUCAAUAUGACAAAUAUCACCAAGUCCUGCAGAAUAUUUCUUCACAAAGAACUGCCCCCUGUCCCAUCAUAAAGACACCUGGGCCACCCCAUGCUCUUCCAACCCAUCUCCCUGCCCAGUCUCUCCCUGGGCUUUUUCUAUACCCUCCCCCUCCCGCCCUCUGCAAGGAGCCCUUGGUAAUGAAGAGCAAACUCAUAACUGCCGGAUAGUCUCACCAUUACUCCCGUUAUUUGGAACCUCUUCACUGCAACGUGACCUUGUUUAUGUGAGUUUAGCUCUCUGAGACUCAGUUUCCUCAAAUGCAAUAUGAUAAGGUAGGAGUAUCUGAUCCCUACUGUCCCUUCCAGAUAAAAUAUUAUGCAAAUCCAUGCUGUUUGUAAAAAGGAAGGAAUUUUCCAAGCACUGUAUGGUGGUGUGUGGGGAGAGCACCAAUGGUAUUGGUGGUUGAAAGAGAUUUUCAGAGACUCCAGCUCAACUCUAACUUGUGGGUUAGUAAACUAUGGCCUGGAGGCCAAA